rnacentral:rRNA from 1 species
UACGAAGGGGGCUAGCGUUGCUCGGAAUCACUGGGCGUAAAGGGUGCGUAGGCGGGUUUUUAAGUCAGAGGUGAAAUCCCGGAGCUCAACUCCAGAACUGCCUUUGAUACUGAAAGUCUUGAGUACGGGAGAGGUGAGUGGAACUGCGAGUGUAGAGGUGAAAUUCGUAGAUAUUCGCAAGAACACCAGUGGCGAAGGCGGCUCACUGGCCCGUAACUGACGCUGAGGCACGAAAGCCAGGGGAGCGAACGGG